rnacentral:misc_RNA from 1 species
AAAAAAAAAAAAAAUUUAAAUAAUAAAAAAAACCCAUAAGUGGAAAUGCCAACAACGGGACGUCGCGGGGACCACCGCGCGUGAAUUGCACCUCCGGUGGAGAUUGGCGUCAGCACAUACAGCGGCCUUCCCCAGCAGUUAUCCAGUACCGGAUAACCAUUGCUAAAAUAGGGAUUUAAAAGACAAGAAAAUCCGUUUUAAAACCUUUAAUUACUAUUUGUUGUUUUUUCCGCUCUUGAAAGCUACCAAUAAGU